GCCACUCCCUCCCUCGGGAUCCUCCCGAUCCACCCGCUUGCCCAACCGGACGCCUCCACACACCGGUUCUCCCGCAGCUCUGUCCGAGCCGAUGCCCCAGGCACUCGAUCCGGAUGGGAUCGAGGCAGCCGCCGUCUUGCCUCCACUCCGACAGCACGCCGGCCGACCACCGUUGCGACCAGGCCAGUCCCGUCGCUCUGUGCCUUCCUUUUCUCCCGUGCUUCUCCCUCGUCUCACCUCUCCGUCUCUCUCAUCCCGUUCAAGCAGGAGCGCCGCCGCCCUCGACCCGUCUCCUUCCAGCCGGCAACGAGCAGUAGCUCGCCGGAGUUGAGCUCCACCGGGUCCCCCUCCCUCUGGCCGUUUCUGGCGCUCGCGUCACCGUCACCCACCCGUCGCCGGAGUUCCUCGCCGGCUCGCGCGCCAACCUGCAAGAACCAAGACGUCGGCCACCAGGGGCUCAAGACGCCGCUGUUCAGAUUUGCCUCGAGCCUCCUCUGCUUCACGCCUCCCCUCGCCGUAGUCCGUGGCCUCCGCCGCCCAAGAUCCGCCUGCCGGCCUCCGCAAGUCCCUCGCCGCAGCCGUCUCCCAACGCCACCAUCGAGCAGCAGCAGCUCGGGCAGAGGAGAUCGAUGCCUCUGCCUCGCUCGUGCGUUGACCUGCGGGUCAGCCCGUCCUCGAGCGCGGUUGCCAGCCGGUCGUCCUUGACCGCGUCGUGCCCAACGCGAGCAGGCCCAGUCCCCCGAUCUGCAAGCCAGUGCCGGCCUGCGAGACCUCUCCGACAGCCGGGCUGAGGCCCAAUGUGAGCUGCCUUUCAGCCCAGUUCCUUAAGUUUCAGCCCGAGUAGUUUUUUUCACUGUCUAGCGUUUUUGUCUUUAUCCAGGGAAUUACAAUUGUAAAGAAAACCCCUCAAUGUUCAUGCAUAUAAUAACUUUUUACCCAUGCAUCGGAAUUUAAAAAAUUAUAUAUGUAAAAUUCUUAGAGUUUCAUCUAGUUUAAUAAUUUCCAACUUUCAUUCAUGUUAAAAAUGUUUAAAUGUGAUGUUUGAAUUAAUUUGCAUAAAUGACUUGCUAAAAAUGAUUUAUUUCAUAACUAAAUAACCGUAGCUCCGAUUAAAUAAACUUUAUAUGUAAAUGGUCUAGAAAAAAUACAUAGAUUAACAUUGUGCACUUACUUUGCAUGUUUAACAACUUCAAAUUGUGUAUAGGGCAAAACAUUACCAAAUUCGAAAUAUGCAUAUGGGGAUUUUCUGAAAUUGUUAUUUGUUAUUUUUGGCCUCAUUUAAACUUGCAUAAAUAGUUAGUUUACUUAUGCUUCACCUCUUGCCAUGUUAACCAACAUUUAAUCUUGUCUUGUUCAUAAACGAGAGCGAACCAAAUAAAUGAAUGUGGUGUUUCGUCAAUAUGCAACUGCAUAUUGAGCUCCACUUAAUUUGUAGUAUUAUUUGUUGCACUUUGCCAUGUCGUGCCUCAUUAAAAUGGACAUGCAUCAUACUUGAUUGUGCAUCAUGUCAUGUUUAUGCUUGUGUGUUUAUCAUGUUGUUUGCUUCUUUUCGGUUGUGCUUCUUCUUGAUAGUUCCGGUUACGUUGCGAUUGUGAGGAUCCGUUUGACUAUGUGGACUCGUCUACUUCAUGGAUUCGGUCUUCUUCCGAGCGGGAUUUCAAGCAAGAUGAUCUUUACCCUGGAGAUCACUACUAUCUUUACCUUGCUAGUUGUCUCGAUGCUAUUGUUAUGUCGCGCUCCCUACCACUUGUUUAUCAAGCCUCCCAAAUUGCCAUGAUAUGCCUCCAACCUUUUCCAUCAUCCUAGCAAACCGUUGAUUGGCUAUAUUACCGCUUUGCUCAGCCUCUCUUAUAGCGUUGCUAGUUGCAGGUGCAGUGCAAGUUGUUCCAUAUUGGGACAUGUAAAGCAUGGGAUGUCACAAUAUCUCUUAUUUAAUUAAUGCAUCAAUACACUUGGUAAAGGGUGGAAGGCUCGGCCUUUUGCUUGGUGUUUUGUUCCAUUCUUGCCGCCUUAGUUUCCGUCAUACCGGUGUUAUGUUCCUUGAUUUUGCGUUCCUAACACGGUCGGGGUUUAUGGGCCCCCCUUGAUUCUUCGCUUAAAGUAAAGCUUUCCCAUGGAGAUCCAACUUUGGUUUUACCAUUUGCCUAAUAAUAACUGAAACUUGCAUAGGGACUGGCUAGCACCUGAGGAUUCUUAAUUAAUAACUUGACAUGAGUGUUGGUACACCUACCUAGCAGUCGGCGAUGUCGCCUCGGGGCAACUCGAGGUCUUUUGGCUAUCGUCCACUUUGCAUAUACGGAUGAGUCCGUAGAUAGAGAGCAAGCGGCUCUGGGCACGGAUCUGACUCACUGGGAGAUCUCCUUGGGAUAGUUUUCCUUUCUUCGAAGAACUUGUGAACCGGGAUUCUGAGCUUGAACGGGCUGUUCCGGAAUGGAGGAUUUUCCUCCGCAGAUCGUGAGAGUUUGUGAUGGACUAAAUUGGGACACCCCUGCAGGGUUAAAUCUUUUCGGAAGCCGUGCCCGCGGUUAUGUGGCAGAUGAGAAAUUUAUAAUAUCCGGUUGUAGAGAACUUGAAACCGGAUUCGAAAUAAAAUACACCAACCACGUGUGUAAUCGUGACCGUCUCUUUCCGAAGGAGUUCAAGAAGAGAACACAGUGGGGUUAUGUUUGACUAGUAAGUACUUCAGCAUCACUUCUUGAUCAUUACUAGUUUGCGACCGUGAUGCGUAGUUUCUCUUCUUAUUCUUGUACUUGUAAGUUAGCCACCAUACAAUGCUUAGCGCUUGCUGCAACCUCGCCACUUAUCCAUUCCAUACCCAUUAAGCUUUGCUAGUCUUAAUACCCAUGGUAAUGGGAUUGCUGAGUCCUCAUGGCUCGCAGAUUACUACAACAACAGGUGCAGUUACAGGUAAUGCGAUGAUCUGACAUGAGAGUGAUGCUUGAUUGCUUUUGGAGUUCUUCUUCUUCAAUCAAGGGAUAAGUUUCGGGUCGGGAGCCUGGGAUUAGCAGGGUGGAUGUCGUUCUUCUUUUUCAUUUGAUUUCAUCCAUAGUCGAAUCCUGCUCUUUUGUAUGAUGAUUGUUAUGUAUUGAUGUAUUCAUGUUGUAGCUUGUGGCGAGUGUAAGCAUGUAUCUGGUAUUCUCAUCUAUUUAGUACAUGGUAUGUGAAAGGAUCGAGAAGAGGUGUCUAGAGGGGGAGUGAUUAGACCCUCAACAAGCAAAAGUGUCAGUUUUUAAAUUCUUCAAGUUGAGGUGGAG
rnacentral:lncRNA from 1 species